GACGAACGCUGGCGGCGUGCUUAACACAUGCAAGUCGAACGGAAAGGCCCUGCUUUUGUGGGGUGCUCGAGUGGCGAACGGGUGAGUAACACGUGAGUAACCUGCCCUUAACUUUGGGAUAACUUCAGGAAACUGGGGCUAAUACCGGAUAGGAGCUCCUGCUGCAUGGUGGGGGUUGGAAAGUUUCGGCGGUUGGGGAUGGACUGGCGGCUUAUCAGCUUGUUGGUGGGGUCGUGGCUUACCAAGGCUUUGACGGGUAGCCGGCCUGAGAGGGUGACCGGCCACAUUGGGACUGAGAUACGGCCCAGACUCCUACGGGAGGCAGCAGUGGGGAAUAUUGCACAAUGGGCGGAAGCCUGAUGCAGCAACGCCGCGUGCGGGAUGACGGCCUUCGGGUUGUAAACCGCUUUCGCCUGUGACGAAGCGUGAGUGACGGUAAUGGGUAAAGAAGCACCGGCUAACUACGUG
rnacentral:rRNA from 1 species